AAUAAUUCUAUGCAAGAAUCGUUCCUGUAUCUUGCGUAUCUAGGACAGGAAAAAUUCUGAAAGUUGAGCAUACUAGUCGCCGCUCCGAAAAUCUCGAAUUUCUCUAGCGAUCGAUCGCGUCCGGAGAAGCUCGACGACGAAUGCCAGUCGGCAACCAUAAGGACAGUAUUUAGCAACUUGCAGCUACCCAGAUUUCGACCUUUUUGCCAGGACGCCGACUGGUUACGGGGAGAGGCGAGAGGGGGUUAAACACGAAGGGUUCAACGAAACGUUUCUCCGCGGAUAUUCUCUCCGGAUCCGAGCAGCUGUUUCCUAUAUCCCCGGCUCGUACUCGAGACACCAUGUCUCUCCCAUGUAGCAAUCGCAGAAGCAAGGUCUGUCCCGGCACAUAGCUGCCUGCCAUGCUUGGCUUAUAUCCGAGGGCAUAACACGCUUCGUGUCCAGAAAGGGAGAGCUAGAAGAAGAAAGAGAAAGAGGAAAAAGUAAGAGACGGAGAACGAACAAAGAGAGUAUCGUCAAUGUCUGUGAGAACGACACCAAUUGCGAGCCGGUACGAGUACGCAGAGCAACCCUGUCCGACGUUGAGGGUUCAACGGACGGGUUUCGGUUUCUUCGAAGUUUCGGCAGAGAAAACGGGUUCCUCUGCUAUUAUUCGAGCCUAUAGCGAGAGAGCUUGUGGCUACCGCUGACACCGACGUGUCCAAUUAUCGAACACUCCUUCUCGAAGACACCGCCAACUUUUCCUUUUUUCUGUUAAAUGAUUACCGAGGACAAGGGAUCCAUUCGUUUUAAUCGUCAGAAUUUUAUUCAUCCUUUAGCCCUUUGUGAACGAACGUUACCAUAUUAACGACAUCAGGACCGAACAUCUUGUUUUAUUAAUAACAUCACGAUGCAGUACUUAAUUUAACCGUUGAGAGAGACUAAGGCUUCGCUGCAUAAUGUAGCUCUCUGGAAAAAGUAUCCUUGAGAUUUUGGAAAAUCUUCGCCUGCUUUUCAUCGAAAGCUGUGAAAAUGAUAAUCCAAGGAAGGGACAAGAUAAAAGUGUGACGAAAACGAUCAGCUCCAAAGAACGUAGAAGAAUUAAUGCAACUACCGCAAAACUGAACGUGAUCGAGAAAAAUGACAACACUACAUUUAUUCAGAUUUUUCGCCAUCAUUUUGCACGUUCAAGUAAAACGAUUUCACGCCGAAAUUCGGAGCAAAAACACAAAUUCUCCGAUAGAAUUGUACCGUUACAAAAUGACGUAUGCACCGGCAUACAUGUCGUUGUUUAGGAACGUGAACGAACAGUAAGAAAUAUACAUACUUCGUCGAACUGUACAUACCUUGUUUUCGAGCACAACGUUCCAGAAAAGGAUACUCCGCGAUGUUCCCAGCACGUAGAAAAUUAAGCGGUUACAGCGUUUCCUACAAGUCUUCAAUUACGGACGUAUCCGCGGACACAUUAAUAUUAAUCAACGCGUUCGCUGUCAGCGUCACACGCGUGACGUCCACGAUUUCAUAGUUCGCGCGAAGAAGAAAGUCGGAUCGAGUUUUUGUAUUGUGCUAUUUCUCGAACACCUAGCUACCUAGGAAAUGUACAUAUAUUCUUCGCGACGCUGUUCGUAUUUGAUGGAGGGUCUGCGUUUGAUAAAAUAUUGAAAUCGCGAGGACAGUUGGCAAGAGAAAUAAUGGUGCCGUGUUAGAAUUCAUCCGUGGAUUAAUGUCAUGCUGGUCGUACCGUGGCAUUUUUGAAACCGAAAUCUUCAUGUUUAUUCAAUAAAGUCGCGGGCAUACGGUUCCACGCUUAUCUCUUACACAUUUUUAAUUUGAACAGUUUUUAUCUAUCUUGCGCAGAUUAUUCUAAACUUUUUAUCCGGCUUUUAUUGCUCUUGCUCCGUUCGGCUCGAUUCUGUUUCGUUGCGAUAACUUUGCAUUUCAUCAGCUCGGAUUGUACAUAUCGCGCGUAUCGUUGAUGCAGCUCCUCGCUUUAAAAAUAACUAAUUGUUGCUUGAUGGUAACCUCUGCCACGACGACACUGCAAGUAUUGUGCACUUAUUGCAAAAUGUAGUAGUCGCAGUAUGCAAGAUUAAUCCAUUAACGCUACGUCGCGACUACAAAAAAGUUCCGUGAUUUUAAAGCAGUUUAAAUCUGUUCGGAGAAUAAUGUUAUACACACGUGUGACGAACGUUGCGGCCAACACCGCGAAUUUUUAUGCAAAAUGAAAAUGUGCUACAUUAAUUGCAAGCAAUAUAAAAUCGAUUUUUCCCUUUAAUAGCUGUGUGAUAGGGUAAAAAUAGUACGAUAAACUGAUAAAAUCCGCACAGUCUAGUGACAAAGGAACGUUCUACGCAUUUAUGAUAAAAUUGAGUAGUUGCAAUUUGAAACGAUGGGAAGUUUAAAAGAAUCGAAAAAUGUCAACGUGUUAUUUUUAAUCUAUUCAAAUGAUUAAAGACAGAAUUAACCUGCAAUUUAUUUCCUAUUUCUUGCUAUCGGCGCUGAAAAUUUGUAUUUUCAACUAGUAUUUUCAAUUCAGUCUACUUGCAACAGACAGAAUUUUUAGCAUAAAAGUAAUCUGAUUAGUUCAAGAUCCCGAAGAAGUUAUUUCCUUUAUGUCUGCUGUCUCCUAGAUUUUCGCAGCACCAAAAAAAUGUUUUUUCAACAAAAAUUUAGAGGUAUGAACACGGCGCUCUCAGAAGAAGGGAUAUCCGUCAUCCGCCCACGAAAAUACGCGACGGGCGUGUUUUCCACGGGGAAAAAAAAUAAAACUUCGGAAACUUGUGCAUGCGGUCCACAACACGCGCCGCCGGUGAAUAAUGCUGGCGGAUCCGCCGGUAAUAUGAUUUAUAGCAGCGCAAUAAAAUAUAGGUGAUUCAGCCGGCAGGAAAUUGGGACCCGCGGAGCUCGAUCGGACAGGCAUUUUUCAAAUUUCCCGACAUUCCCCGGCGCAGUUCGCUGCAGAACGAUGUCGGGCCACUGAGAUAGUGUUCUUCCGCGCCGUUCGAGAGAUCGUUUUACCCGAAGUGACAUAACUAGACUGCGCAUUUUAUGCAGAAGAUGAAAAGAGUUCGAAAACACCAAUUUGCUGAUUCGAACCUUGGAUAAUUCAAUUUUUCGACGCGAUUCGCGCGGACUAUUUUUAUGACUAUUUAGAUGAUGGACGAUGAUUCAAGCCGAGACCUAUCCGCAACGAAAUCAGUUUCGUGUUGUGCACUUGAAAAUCUGAUACGAUUACGCAACGUUCCCGUUUCUUUUCUGCAUUUCUCGACUAUCACGCCAUUGGAGUGUUAUAUUAGUAAACUGCGGUACUUUAUGCAAAACACAGAAAUAAUUAACAUGAUAAUUACCAUGACAACAGUUUCAGUUUCUUCUAAAAACCGCAGUCUAAUUAUUAGCGAACCUCGUUGCACAACUAUUUAGAAAUAUGCAGCCGGUAUUCACGAGUUUUGACUAGAAUAAAUUGUUUCCUCAUGUUAAUGUGAA